rnacentral:sRNA from 1 species
CGCGUCCGUCACGUGGACGCCUGUGCCCAUCCAAGCCCACACCCGGUUAGUCUGGCGCCGUGCGGACCCCCCGCCUGCCCUGGGGUCCCGCAUAGCCGACAGCCGUCGCACCUUCAGGGAGCCCCUACAUG